GGGGCUGCUCCGACACCGGGGGUCAGUCAGGGGAUAAUGUGGGGCUGGGAGGUGGGCAAGUCCUGGGAAGGGUUGGGAAGCAGGCCCCUGGUUUCGGUUAGUAUGAAGUUAGGUGUGGUGUUAGCAUGUGCCCAGAACCCUCCCCCGAGGCUGAGUAGACUUCACUGCGUUCUGCCUGGUUGCUAGGCCUGAGGGAUCCGGCUCCCUGGCCAGGUUAGCGUUCUGCCCCAGGUUGGAAUAGAGGAAGGAUGUGUCUCCAAAGGCUGGAUUCCUGAGCCACUGGUUUCCCUCUGCCACAGGUUUUUCUUCACAUACCUCCUGCCUCACAGUGCCCCGCCUUCACUGCGUCCUCUGCUGGACAGCAUCGUCAACGCCACAGGAGAGCUCACCUGGGGGGUGGACGAGACCCUGGCCCAGCUGGAGAAGGUGCUGCACCUGUACCGGAGCGGGCAGUAUCUGCAGAACUCCACGGCAAGCAGCAGUACCGGUGAGUGGCCCCAACCUGAUCCACAGGGAAGCAAGAAACAGGUGGGAGGGUGAAUGACCCCGCCCAAUUAGGCUAAGUGGCUCACCCUUUCUCUGGGGACCCUUGUCUCCAAAGGCCACUGUAGGGGCUCACAUAGAAUCAUGGAGGGGCUGACAAGGACUAAUUUGAGGUUCCAUCUCUAGCUGAGCUAGAGCAACUAUAAUUCUGCCUUCAACCUGGGGUUGGGCACUGAUACCCC
rnacentral:sRNA from 1 species